UACGAAGGGGGGCUAGCGUUGCUCGGAAUCACUGGGCGUAAAGGGUGCGUAGGCGGGUCUUUAAGUCAGGGGUGAAAUCCUGGAGCUCAACUCCAGAACUGCCUUUGAUACUGAGGAUCUUGAGUUCGGGAGAGGUGAGUGGAACUGCGAGUGUAGAGGUGAAAUUCGUAGAUAUUCGCAAGAACACCAGUGGCGAAGGCGGCUCACUGGCCCGGUACUGACGCUGAGGUGCGAAAGCGUGGGGAGCAAACAGG
rnacentral:rRNA from 1 species